rnacentral:rRNA from 1 species
GACGGGGGAUGCAAGCGUUAUCCGGAAUCACUGGGCGUAAAGCGUCUGCAGGCGGUUUCCUAAGUCCACUGUUAAACCUUGAGGCUCAACCUCAAAUCUGCAUUGGAAACUAGGAGACUUGAGUAUAGUAGGGGUAGAGGGAAUUUCCAGUGGAGCGGUGAAAUGCGUAGAUAUUGGAAAGAACACCGAUGGCGAAGGCACUCUACUGGGCUAUUACUGACACUCAGAGACGAAAGCUAGGGGAGCAAAUGGG